GGGAUGCUACGAAAAGGCACCGACAGGCCUGGGCAGCCGUCCAGGCCCAGCUGGGUCUCUCUGCCCUGGCGACCUCGGGCCCGGGGGAAUCUAAUUUGAUCUUGGGGUCCCGCUAGUGUUCCAUCCAAGGAACACUAGUUGGGGAGGUAAACUGAGGCACAGGCUUCCUGUCCUCGCCCCUCCCCGCCAGGCCUCUGCUCCUUCAGCACAGCCCACACUCCUAGGGACCUCGCACUUCCCGGAGCAACACCCUCCCACUGUCCUGGUGGAGAGCCCUGGUGGAAGGGAUGCAAGUUUAGUUCAUCAAGUACCAGAAAACCCAACUGAAAACGGUCCAAACAAUGCUGAAAUGUUUCUGUCCAUAUCAUCACUGGGAUCUGGAUGUUGGAGGAGUUUUGAGGUUACUCUACUCCAUCUGUAUACUGGAAAUUAUCUUCCCAACUCCAAGUUCAGAUACUCCGCAUUGGUUCAGAUACUCCACUUUGCAGCUUGGAACAACUAUUGCAGAGAUAUGUACACUGUGAAAAUCUGAAAAUGCUACAGUUCAGGGCUUGGAGGCAAAAUCUGGCUCUUGCUUGAGCUAAAAAAAAUUUUUUUUACAUUGUUAAAGGGUGGUUAAAACAAAACAAAGCAAAACAAAAGAGACUGCGCCAAAGACUCUAAGUGUCUGGAAAAGUGGAAAACACUUACCAUCUGACUCUGCAGAAUCCAUUUGCCAAACCCUAGACAUAAGAAAGUAAUACAGAAAAUUAACAAUGUGGUUAAACUUCAAAUUCUGUGAUGUCUGCAGCCAUUAUAUUGUGAAUAGCACAAAAUGUUGAGGAACUAUUCACCCAGUAAUAGAAAACCAUGCUCCAAUACAGCAAAGAAGUUGCUGACAUCAUUGAGGAACAAAUAAAGUUUGGAUCUAU